ensembl:lncRNA
AUCGACCCCGGGUCUCCCUCAUUGUGGGCAAACGCUUUAACCUCUGAGCUACCAGGGAAGCCCAAGUGAAAGGGAGUGACUAAAAAUCUCACCCCAUUAGGGAUUUCCCUCCUGGUCUAGAGGUUAAGACUCCAAGCUUCCAAUGCUGGUGGUUUGGGCUCUAUCCCUGGGUGGGGAGCUAAAAUCCCAUAUGCUUCCUGCCAUAAAUCCAAAAUCUAAAACAGAAGCAAUAUAAUAAGGUUUAUUUUUUUAAUGAUCUACAUCAAAUAAAUAAAUAAAAAUAUAUCUCCCCACCUACUUCUGGGAGUGUUAGAAUCCAGGACUACAUUGCCCACAGGUUUGGAGGAAAAAGUAGAAUAACCAAGAAACCUGAGAAAAACAAACUGUCCCUCCCAUUUUUCUAAAUUACCCAGUCAGUAGUGUGACUUGGCACACUCCAGAGCAGGUCAGGACUCCCGUUUCAAGGGUGAAUUUUUCCACCCUUCCUAGCUCCCUGGACUCUCACUCUUUUCUGCUAGGUGGAGGGGAACUUCCUCCCUUCCAUUAACAAAGGUCCUGGGGCUCCCAGUCUCUAUCAUUGCCGGCUAGGGUCCAUAUCACCUGGCCUACCUUGAGUUUCCUGACCUAACUCUGACUCUCUCCAGCCCUGGAAGGACAGAACACUUCGACGCCCGGGGACCGGCCUGUUCCAGCCACCACCGCCCGUGAGAGAUGGAGGGAGUGGCUGGACCACGCAGCGCCUGUGGCUAGAGGUAGCCAGAGUUCCGGCUCAAGUCGGGGAAGGAGAGAGGGCGUGGUUUCGGGGGAGGGCGUGGUCUCGGGUGGGGCGAGGUGUUAGGUUUGAGGGUGUGGCCGCUCCUGAAAGACCGCCCCUGUGUCCUGCUGCCCCUCUGUCAAGCUGCGGGGCCGCUGCAGCUUCGCCCAGUCUGGGUUAAAGCAGCCGCCCCGGGCUCGGCUCGGGCUCCUCUGUCCCAGGCGGUGACCCCGGACGGCCCCGGACUCGUGCUGCCCUUGGCUUCCCGCUCUCAAGUCGAGGGUUUGGAUACCGAGGGGCGAGGAAGGAAGCUCUCCUUUAACUCCUUCAAUAUUACAGUGUACCGGUAGUGUUUUCUGUAAAGAAUGCAAAGGAUGAGAGGAGAAGGGAAACUUUGUCCAUGAAAUACUCUAGUAAACUUAUGAUUAUUAUUUUUUAAACCACAAAAAUUGGGGCUCUAUUGAGUUCUAAUAUCUUCACCACUUUGGGGGAAGAUAUUUGUAAAUUAUAAUUAUUUUAUCAAUAAAAUAUCAACUUUAAGCCUCUCCCUGUGUGUGAUAUCUUGCAUUAACAGUCUAUCCAAUGAAGUGAAUGCUUUAGAAAUCUAAGGUUCUAGUUUAUAGAGGCCAACUGGAAUAGAAGUAUAUAUAAGUUAUUAAAUAACUAUGUAACCUUGAGAAUAGUGGUAUUAGGAAUAUUUCAAAGUUUAAAGAUUGCUUCAUUCAAAUAUAUCUGUGACUUGACAAUUAUUUUUCUGUUAUUUAAUAGUGGUACAAUAUGCAACAUCUCUUAUUAAGAAUUGUGUCAGACAUUUCUCUGGAAGCUCUGUUCUGAAUGUAUAGUUAUUUUUCCCCUAGUCUAACACUGUUAGAUUAAAUUAUGUUCUGAGUUAGAGCCAAGGCAAUGNNNNNNNNNNNNNNNNNNNNNNNNNNNNNNNNNNNNNNNNNNNNNNNNNNNNNNNNNNNNNNNNNNNNNNNNNNNNNNNNNNNNNNNNNNNNNNNNNNNUUCUGAGUUAGAGCCAAGGCAAUGAGGUAGGGAUAAAGACUGAAAGAAUAUGUGUAAGUUCUCUUACCAGACCGUCUCUGAACACCUGGCAAGCCCCUAGCUUUACUCUGGGGUACCAACAAGUCCUUUAACUUACUUUAAUUCAUUUUUGUCUUCAAAAUAAGGAAACUGUGUUGAUCUUAAAGGACAUUUGGAUCUCUUUGAAUUAUUCUAUAAAAGGUAGUGUCUCAUUUCUAGAGCUUCUAGAGCUAGAUAUCACUGUUCUAGACCAACAUCUCAUCUAGAGUUUGCUCUCAUUUCCAAAGGGCUUCCUAACAUGUUGGGCAAUGCCCCUGCCCCACCUAAGCAAUACAGUGCA